CGGAGGAUCCAAGCGUUAUCCGGAAUCAUUGGGUUUAAAGGGUCCGUAGGCGGUUUGAUAAGUCAGUGGUGAAAGCCCAUCGCUCAACGAUGGAACGGCCAUUGAUACUGUCAGACUUGAAUUACUGGGAAGUAACUAGAAUAUGUAGUGUAGCGGUGAAAUGCUUAGAUAUUACAUGGAGUACCAAUUGCGAAGGCAGGUUACUACCAGUGGAUUGACGCUGAUGGACGAAAGCGUGGGGAGCGAACAGGAUUAGAUACCCUGGUAGUCCACGCCGUAAACGAUGGAUACUAGCUGUUCGGAGCAAUCUGAGUGGCUAAGCGAAAGUGAUAAGUAUCCCACCUGGGGAGUACGUUGCAAGAAUG
rnacentral:rRNA from 1 species